ACAGAGGGUGCGAGCGUUGUCCGGAAUCACUGGGCGUAAAGGGCGCGUAGGUGGCCUGAUAAGUAGGGGGUGAAAUCUCGAGGCUCAACUUCGAGGCUGCCUCCUAAACUGCCAGGCUUGAGCAGAGUAGAGGCAGGUGGAAUUCCCGGUGUAGCGGUGGAAUGCGUAGAGAUCGGGAAGAACAUCGGUGGCGAAGGCGGCCUGCUGGGCUUUUGCUGACACUGAGGCGCGACAGCGUGGGGAGCAAACAGGAUUAGAUACCCUGGUAGUCCACGCCGUAAACGAUGGGUACUAGGCGCCGGGGGGAGCGACCCCUUCGGUGCCGUCGCUAACGCAAUAAGUACCCCGCCUGGGGAGUACGGCCGCAAGGCUG
rnacentral:rRNA from 1 species